CAGUAGCCGCGGUAAUACAGGGGGUGCGAGCGUUAAUCGGAUUUACUGGGCGUAAAGCGUGCGUAGGCGGCUUCUUAAGUCGGAUGUGAAAUCCCUGAGCUUAACUUAGGAAUUGCAUUCGAUACUGGGAAGCUAGAGUAUGGGAGAGGAUGGUAGAAUUCCAGGUGUAGCGGUGAAAUGCGUAGAGAUCUGGAGGAAUACCGAUGGCGAAGGCAGCCAUCUGGCCUAAUACUGACGCUGAGGUACGAAAGCAUGGGGAGCAAACAGGAUUAGAUACCCCAGUAGUCCCUGUCUCUUAUAA
rnacentral:rRNA from 1 species